rnacentral:rRNA from 1 species
GAUGAACGCUGGCGGCGUGCUUAACACAUGCAAGUCGAACGGAAAGGCUCCUGCUUUCAGGGGUACUCGAGUGGCGAACGGGUGAGUAACACGUGGGUGAUCUGCCCUUCACUUCGGGAUAAGCCUAGGAAACUGGGUCUAAUACCGGAUAGGACGAUGUGUUGGAUGCCAUGGUGGAGAGUUUUUCGGUGUGGGGGGAGUUAGCGGCCUAUUAGCUGGUUGGUGGGGUGGUGGCCUACUAAGGCGUCGACGGGUAGCCGGCCUGAGAGGGUGGACGGCCACAUUGGGACUGAGAUACGGCCCAGACUCCUACGGGAGGCAGCAGUGGGGAAUAUUGCACAAUGGGCGCAAGCCUGAUGCAGCGACGCCGCGUGGGGGAUGACGGCCUUCGGGUUGUAAACUGCUUUCGCUAGUGACGAAGCGCAAGUGACGGUACCUGGUGAAGAAGCACCGGCUAACUACGUG